AUUGAACGCUGGCGGCAGGCCUAACACAUGCAAGUCGAGCGGAUGAAGGGAGCUUGCUCCUGGAUUCAGCGGCGGACGGGUGAGUAAUGCCUAGGAAUCUGCCUGGUAGUGGGGGAUAACGUCCGGAAACGGGCGCUAAUACCGCAUACGUCCUGAGGGAGAAAGUGGGGGAUCUUCGGACCUCACGCUAUCAGAUGAGCCUAGGUCGGAUUAGCUAGUUGGUGGGGUAAAGGCCUACCAAGGCGACGAUCCGUAACUGGUCUGAGAGGAUGAUCAGUCACACUGGAACUGAGACACGGUCCAGACUCCUACGGGAGGCAGCAGUGGGGAAUAUUGGACAAUGGGCGAAAGCCUGAUCCAGCCAAGCCGCGUGUGUGAAGAAGGUCUUCGGAUUGUAAAGCACUUUAAGUUGGGAGGAAGGGCAGUAAGUUAAUACCUUGCUGUUUUGACGUUACCAACAGAAUAAGCACCGGCUAACUUCGU
rnacentral:rRNA from 1 species